GGACCCGCGUCGCCUGGCGGCUCCGGAGUGUGGUCUGCAGCCGAGUCUGGCGGUGUCUCCGCUCCGGCGCUUUAACCCUGUAGGGGCGUGCGACCGCGUCCUUUUCAGGAGGGCGCCCCUUGAGCAGCGGACUGAGUGGCGCCCAGCGGCGAGGAGGCGAAAAUCUUGGGGGAACUCAGAGUGGCGGUAUAGGGCGUGUAAGGGGGAGAUAGCCAGACCCUGGGGCGGAGGGCGAGCCCUCCUUAUCGUCCCCGAGGGCUUGUCUGCUACUAGGGCUGUUGGCGGCCUCCCGCACCGAAGGGACCGUGGGCGUCUGAGGCCUUAAAUCAGGCGGGCCUUCAGGAUGUUAGCAGUCCCUGUCUGGUUGAAGAUAGGCAGCCAAAAGCCCGAGUAGGGGGACGAACACUUACCUCCUGUCCCUCAAAAGAUCCACUAGAUCGUCGGCUCCAAAAUCUGAGAGACCACGAACGGAUCCCAAAGCACCAGCGUACGCUCAGACCUGGCGUUCGGAAAGAUUCUAGAGUGCACUGGCAGGUAGAUCUCAAAUCGGUAGACUUGCAGGCGAAGCCCAGAUAUCGUAGGCAGAUCCUAAAGACUCAGAUUCCCGAGGUCUCAGACUUGCAGGCAGUUGAGAGAAACCACAGGCUCGUAGACAGAUCCCUGAGACCACAGAGGCUGGCCAAGAAACCACCAGCGACUAAGCUGCAUUCAGCUGGAUCUCCUCGGACCGGGAGGACUCACAGCUUUCCCUUUCCCCAGCCAGAAUGAGGGAAUUAGACAAUGAGAGUCGAGCACUAGGGAAAGCAAGCAUUCUGCGUGGGGAAGAGCUCCGAGCUCGCUGUAGCCUUGGAGAGGGAAGUGAUGGAAAAAGAAUAUAGCAGCUUAUUAGGGACUCCCACCCUCUUCAAGUUAUAAAUAUCCCCAGAACCUUGGCUAUGUGCCCGGAAGCCUGUUGUCUCUAACUGUACAGGAGACUUCUCUUCCUAGGCUGGGAAAGGGGCCUUUCUUUUGUUUUGCGGAUAGAUCCACCCACUGAGGAACUUGAAAAUUUUUUUCAAACGUAACUCCAGGCCAUGCUUUUAUUAGUGAGUGUCCUUUUCCCAGUGCCCAGUUACUUAUGAUUAAAUUACUCAAGUGUCUAAAAAGAGCUAAAAGGACCCGAGCCAGCCAUAAUGCAGACUUUCCCAUUCCUUCUCUUUCCACCAGCAACUGUGGGGCUAGGGAUUCUUCAGAUGUCGCAGAAUUAUACCAUCCUAUCCCAUCUAAAAUUGAUCCGAGGCUGGUCCCUUGGGUUACCAAAAUGUAGUAACAUUAAUGUAACUAAAGUUGUUAUUCAACCCCCGAUUGCUAAAUUUGACUGGCUACAAAAAUUAAAAUUGAUUCAAGAAACACCUAAAAUUGAGUCCUGGAGGGUCUCCAAGAGGCAGUAUCUCCAGUGGAAAGAAUGUGGGCCUCAAGGUCAGACAGACCUGGUUUGGAAACCAGGCUGUGUAUCCUUUGGGAAGUCAUUGAAUCCAGGCCCAUUUCGUUUUCUCUAAAAUGAGGGUCAUCAUACCUAAGGUUGUUGUGAGUCCUGAGUGAGAUGAUUAAAGGGCUCCAGAGAGUGUGCUCUUGGAUGAUAGCCGUUACUUUUUAUUAACCCUGGCUUUGGCGGUAAGGGAAACUUCCAGAAAUGCUUGUGGGUAUAUUGGUUAAGAAAAUAUUGGAAAUCAAAGUGGCUCAAUAGUUGUGUGGAUAAGAGGGUGACAUUAUCCUCACAUUGUGUUUCUUCCGGAAAUUCAGACGGAACAGAGGUUGGGCCUGUUUGGUGGGUUCAAGUGAGUGGUGUGUUGAGUCUAGUAGGGCAUAGGUACUUGGGGCUGCCAAAACCCCAGCUUCAGACUCAGGGAAAUUUCUGGGUCAGAGGUUAAUAACUAUGCUUCUUGGAGAGAGGAGGGUUGCCUUUCAGACCAGCUGAAAUAAUUGCAGGUUUCUAACUGGGCCUAAGGUGAGCUGAGGGCUUGAGCCCCUCAGCCCAGCGGGGUUCCGUUUUCAUCCCUUCUCUGACAGAUUGCUUUGUAAACUUUCUUAGGCCUUCCCCCACUCCUUUGCCCCAGUGCUUUAAGCCCUUCUUUGUCUUCUUGCUGUUUCUUUUAUUCCUCAGGCCUGCAGGGCGGGGGCGGGGUGGCGCCCAGGACAACUCUCCCGGGCUCAGCUUGGCUGCCUGCCUCCUUCUGUAAGUGCUUUUUUCUUUCUUCACCUGGGACCCUCCAAAGGUUGGAAAGAGAAGAGAGGCUGGGAGCGGAUGGAAAGCAUGACUGCAUCUGAAGCCCCUGGGGGGAGUGGGGAAGAGGGAGUGGAAGGACAGUGGCUGAGGGGCUUCCUGUUGCAGCCUUCAGCUGGACUCAGGGUUGGGGUCACUGGAGGAGGAGGUGGCUUCCUGCUCCAUUGUUCAGGACUGCAGUGUUUCUUGGGAAUACUUACUGUAUGUGGGUUUUCAGUAACCAACUUGGAAAGCUGUAUUCGUUCCCAUGAUUCAGCAAACAGUGAAUACCUACUGUGUGCAAAGGCAGCAGUACAGCCUGUCAUCACUGGGCAAGAGGCCAGAAGAGCCAUUUGGUCAGGGUCUCCAAUUUAGGCUCUCAACAUUAUCUCUAAAUAAGGUUAAACAUGAUGUUGGAUCCACUGGCCGAUGUGAUCAAAGACCCUCCUUGUAUAUCCUUAAAGCUAUACUCUGUUAUCAGGCCACUGUGCCUUUGGAGCACUGUAAGUUCUUAUAUUUUAAUAAAUCUUAUAAUUAUCUUGUGAGCAGCACAAUUGUCAUAGUUUUUUGUAUCAAAAACAUGAACUUGCUAAACAUUUUAAAA